GCUAUGUGGUACGGAGCGCGCGUCAGAAUCGCCACGAGUUCUCUCGCACCACAGUGGUCUCUGAGGCUCCAAAGGGACAAGGUCCCCGGACGGCCUCGAGCUCCAGGGACGCAGGAGCCAGGCCUCGACUUGGGCCUCAGCACCGGCCAGAGCUCACUGUGGUCCGUCCCUGUGAGCUCCGGGCCUCUCCAGGGCGGCUUCUCUCUAUGCAGACAGCGGAAAGAGGAGAAAUCUUCUUUAUGAGAAGCCCGCCUGGGGCCUUGAGGUCAGAAGAAGAGACUUCUCGUGCCACCUUCAUAGUUCUUUGCUCUGUUUCUAGCAGUCCUUAGCUCCUACAGCCUUUUGCGGAUGUCUGCCUUUGUCAUGGGGAAGUCAGUUCCUGGAAAACACACCACGUAGUUCUCCAUUGCUGGAGCUGUCGUUGUACCAGCACAAGGCUUUUGGAGUCAACUGUGGGUUCCGGUUGCUUAUUCUGGAAGUGGUUCCAGGAGGCAAAGAUGAGGCACAGAGGACAGAAACAGCAGAUGAGGAGGAAAUUCAGGAGCUGGCCCUCUUCCAGCACAGCCGGGCUCAGCCAGGACAGCCCUCUAAGGGAUCUUCUGGAUUGCGCCUCCCAGGGACGGGAGCUGGAACCUGGACCCCACCAGACACUGCCGCUCCAUGGCUGGGAGUUGUGGCCUUGGAUAAGCAAUCCCUGGCCCUGGGGCUGCCUGGCCCAGAUGGACCAACUCCAACACUCUACAGGGAAGUAG
rnacentral:lncRNA from 1 species